rnacentral:rRNA from 1 species
ACGGGUGAGUAACACGUGAGUAACCUGCCCUUGACUCUGGGAUAAGCCUGGGAAACCGGGUCUAAUACUGGAUAUGACCUUCUGGCGCAUGCCAUGUUGGUGGAAAGCUUUAUUGCGGUUAUGGAUGGACUCGCGGCCUAUCAGCUUGUUGGUGGGGUAAUGGCCUACCAAGGCGACGACAGGUAGCCGGCCUGAGAGGGUGGACGGCCACACUGGGACUGAGACACGGCCCAGACUCCUACGGGAGGCAGCAGUGGGGAAUAUUGCACAAUGGGCGCAAGCCUGAUGCAGCGACGCCGCGUGGGGAUGAAGGCCUUCA